rnacentral:rRNA from 1 species
GACGAACGCUGGCGGCGUGCUUAACACAUGCAAGUCGAGCGGUAAGGCCCUUUCGGGGGUACACGAGCGGCGAACGGGUGAGUAACACGUGGGUGACCUGCCCUCAGCUCUGGGAUAAGCCUGGGAAACCGGGUCUAAUACCGGAUACGACUCCAUGACGCAUGUUGUGGGGUGGAAAGCCUUGUGCGGCUGAGGAUGGGCCCGCGGCCUAUCAGCUUGUUGGUGGGGUGAUGGCCACCAAGGCGACGACGGGUAGCCGGCCUGAGAGGGCGACCGGCCACACUGGGACUGAGACACGGCCCAGACUCCUACGGGAGGCAGCAGUGGGGAAUCUUGCGCAAUGGGCGAAAGCCUGACGCAGCGACGCCGCGUGAGGGAUGACGGCCU